rnacentral:rRNA from 1 species
AUUGAACGCUGGCGGCGUGCUUAACACAUGCAAGUCGAACGAAGUGGCGAACGGGUGAGUAAUACGUGGGUAACCUGCCCUCCUUUUUGGGAUAAGCCUUGGCAACGGGGUCUAAUACCGAAUAAAGGGGGAUGGGCUCGCGGCCUAUCAGCUUGUUGGGGGGGUGAUGGCCUACCAAGGCGGUGACGGGUAGCCGGCCUGAGAGGGCGACCGGCCACAUUGGGAGUGAGAGACGGCUCAGACUGCUACGGGAGGCAGCAGUGGGGGAUAUUGCACAAUUGGGGAAAGCCUGCUGCGGCGACGCCGCGUGGGGGAUGAAGUCUUUCGGGUUGUAAACCUGUUUCGCUCUCGAACGGGUAGGUGGAGAAGAAGCGCCGGCUAACUACGUGCCAGCAGCCGCGGUAAUAC